rnacentral:rRNA from 1 species
GAACGCUGGCGGCAUGCCUAACACAUGCAAGUCGAACGAGACCUUCGGGUCUAGUGGCGCACGGGUGCGUAACGCGUGGGAACCUGCCCUUAGGUUCGGGAUAACUCCCCGAAAGGGGUGCUAAUACCGGAUAAUGUCUACAGACCAAAGAUUUAUCGCCUUUGGAUGGGCCCGCGUUGGAUUAGCUAGUUGGUAGGGUAAAAGCCUACCAAGGCGACGAUCCAUAGCUGGUCUGAGAGGAUGAUCAGCCACACUGGGACUGAGACACGGCCCAGACUCCUACGGGAGGCAGCAGUGGGGAAUAUUGGACAAUGGGCGAAAGCCUGAUCCAGCAAUGCCGCGUGAGUGAUGAAGGCCUUAGGGUUGUAAAGCUCUUUUACCCGGGAUGAUAAUGACAGUACCGGGAGAAUAAGCUCCGGCUAACUCCGUG